AGAGUUUGAUCCUGGCUCAGAUUGAACGCUGGCGGCAGGCCUAACACAUGCAAGUCGAGCGGUAGCACAGAGAGCUUGCUCUCGGGUGACGAGCGGCGGACGGGUGAGUAAUGUAUGGGGAUCUGCCUGAUGGCGGGGGAUAACUACUGGAAACGGUAGCUAAUACCGCAUAAUGUCUUCGGACCAAAGCGGGGGACCUCCGGGCCUCGCGCCAUCAGAUGAACCCAUAUGGGAUUAGCUUGUAGGUGAGGUAAUGGCUCACCUAGGCGACGAUCCCUAGCUGGUCUGAGAGGAUGACCAGCCACACUGGAACUGAGACACGGUCCAGACUCCUACGGGAGGCAGCAGUGGGGAAUAUUGCACAAUGGGCGCAAGCCUGAUGCAGCCAUGCCGCGUGUGUGAAGAAGGCCUUCGGGUUGUAAAGCACUUUCAGCGGGGAGGAAGGCGGUGAGGUUAAUAACCUCAUCGAUUGACGUUACCCGCAGAAGAAGCACCGGCUAACUCCGUGCCAGCAGCCGCGGUAAUUC
rnacentral:rRNA from 1 species